UACUUUGAAUGAGAAAGGAAGAUGGGUGGCCGAUGUUAAACUAACCUGAUUUUUUAAUCAUGAUGAAUAAUUCAACAUGAAAAAAACAGGAUUAGUCUGCCCAUUUUCAAAUAAACAUGCUGGAAACUAAUGUUUUCACAUAGGUGACAAGCUUAUUAGCUUUACAAUUAUGUAAAGCAAGAGCAGCCCUAUGGAUUUUGAUGCAAGCCUGCUUUAAAAUCUAUAGAGCGAUGUUGGCAGCAUCAGCGAUUGGCGACUAAUCCUUCCAAAAUUAUGGGAGGAUUUUUUU
rnacentral:sRNA from 1 species